GCAUUUGUGGUUCAGUGGCAGAAUUUUUGCCUUCCUUAUGGGAGACCCGGGUUCAAUUCCCGGCCAAUGCA
rnacentral:tRNA from 1 species